AGAGSUUWYAAGCGUUAUCCGGAUUUAUUGGGCGUAAAGCGUUUCGUAGGCGGAUUUUUAAGUUACCCUUCAAAGACUACGGCUUAACCGGAGGAAGGGGGGUAAUACUGAAAGUCUUGAUUUUUAGUGGGGUAUCUGGAACUGAUGGUGUAGUAGUGAAAUACGUUGAUAUCAUCAGGAACUCCGAGGGCGAAGGCAGGAUACUAACUAUCAUAUGACGCUGAGGAACGACAGCUAGGGGAGCGAAAGGGAUUAGAGACCCCUGUAGUCCUAGCUGUAAACUUUGCUCGCUAGGGAUUUGGGAYKUAUUCCGAGUUCCGUAAGCUAACGCGUUAAGCGAGCCGCCUGGGGAGUACGACCGCAAGGUUA
rnacentral:rRNA from 1 species